AAUCGAUGCAACGCGAAGAACCUUACCAAGGCUUGACAUACACCGGUAACGCCCAGAGAUGGGUGCCCCUUUGUGGUCGGUGUACAGGUGGUGCAUGGUUGUCGUCAGCUCGUGUCGUGAGAUGUUGGGUUAAGUCCCGCAACGAGCGCAACCCUCGUCCUAUGUUGCCAGCGGGUCAUGCCGGGGACUCGAUGGGAGACUGCCGGGGUCAACUCGGAGGAAGGUGGGAUGACGUCAAAUCAUCAUGCCCCUUAUGUCUUGGGCUUCACGCAUGCUACAAUGGCCGGUACAAAGGGCUGCGAUACCGCGAGGUGGAGCGAAUCCCAGAAAGCCGGUCUCGGUUCGGAUUGGAGUCUGCAACUCGACUCCAUGAAGUUGGAAUCGCUAGUAAUCGCGGAUCAGCAUGCCGCGGUGAAUACGUUCCCGGGCCUU
rnacentral:rRNA from 1 species